rnacentral:rRNA from 1 species
UACAGAGGGGGCAAGCGUUAUUCGGAAUUAUUGGGCGUAAAGGGCGCGUAGGCGGCCUGGCAAGUGGAAGGUGAAAUCCCUCGGCUUAACCGAGGAACUGCCCUCCAAACUGCUUGGCUUGAGACCGGGAGAGGUGAGUGGAAUUCCCAGUGUAGCGGUGAAAUGCGUAGAUAUUGGGAGGAACACCAGUGGCGAAGGCGGCUCACUGGACCGGUACUGACGCUGAGGCGCGAAAGCAUGGUAGCGAACAGG